UAAUGACUCUCGGCAACGGAUAUCUCGGCUCUUGCAUCGAUGAAGAACGUAGCGAAAUGCGAUACUUGGUGUGAAUUGCAGAAUCCCGCGAACCAUCAAUUCUUUGAACGCAAGUUGCGCCCGAAGCCAUUUGGCCGAGGGCACGCCUGCCUGGGCGUCGUGAA
rnacentral:rRNA from 4 species